rnacentral:lncRNA from 1 species
CCAGGCGCCAGGGUCCCCCAGACUUCCAGUCUUCCUAGUGGAGACUCCCUGAACCUGCAGCCCCAGCAACGUGAUCUCUGGUGCCACGUAGAGUGGGAGGAGUUAAGUGGCAACGGUAAACGGAAGUUUUCUUUUCUUUUCUUUUUUUUUUUGAGAGAGGGUGAAGACAUGCUAUCAGGCAAUGGGAAUGGAAAACCAGAAGAAGUGAGAGCUGAUUCUGAAUGGGAAAUGUACAUGAUUUGGCCUUAGCUGAUAAGGAACACAUACAACAGCAGGGUUGGGGCACAGUGGUGGGGGUACGCAGUGAGCUUUGUUUACGUACCUUUUGGGCAAAGGGAUACUGUAUUUUGUCUUAGAAAAAGGAUUACAAUAACAAGUCACAGGGUUAAUUUGGAUGGCAAGCACGGGAGGUGUGCGUGAUGGAGAGGCCCGGUGAGUGUUUGGGAAAAUGAGUGAGGAGCUCCGGAGAGGGCAAGGUGUAAACUCGGAGCCAUGGAGGACAGGCAGAAAAUGAGCUGCCGUGGGAAGAGGAACAGAGGAGAAAGCAGCGGUGAGGACAGAGCUGUGCGGAAAAGCAACGUCGAGGACCGGGGACCAUCAAGAGCUAAGGGGAGAGCGGGAGGGGACCCUGCUAAGGUCGCCGGCGAAGGGAACAGCAGGUCAGCUGUCCUCUCCUAGGGCUGCCAUUAAAAGGAGGAGCCCAAACAGAGUGGCUUAAAUGUGAACGUUUCCUGUCUCACAGGUCUGGAGGCCGGGAGCCCACAGUCCAUGAGCAGGGCGAUGCGCUGCCCUGGGACUCCUGGGAAGAAUCCUUCCUCGGCUUUUCUAGCUCGGGGCCAUCACUCCCGCUGCUCCCCGGCUCGUGGAUGCACCCUUCGAUGUCUGCGAACACCUCCACAUCACGUUCUUCCUGUGGGUAUCGCUGUCUCUCUUUUCCUGGAAGGAUGCCGGUCCUAUUGCAUUGGGGCUCUCCCUGAUGGCCUCCUCUGAACUUGGUUACCUGUGCAACAACGGGUGCUGGGUGAGCAUCAGUUUCCAGGGGAUGGCAUUCAGGCCAGCACAGGUCAUCUCCAGAGGUAAAUCAGCAAUGACUCAGAACACACGAGAGCCGCCCUCAACAGUCGGGUCUCUGAGAGGCGCCCUCCGACGUGCAGCAGAAGAUCUGAGUUCAAGGUUGGUUUUGUCCUCUUCAUGCCGAGACAAGUCACUCCACGCAGUGGACCUCAGCAGCUUGGCUGGUAAAAGAAAGCCAGGUGCUUCACCUCCAGGGGCCGGUCCAGCUUUAAAAACCUUACUCGUUCCAGAAGCUGUGGCAUCCUUUAACACGUUGAAUACAACUGCCCCUCCCCACCUCCUUAAACAUCUUGCCUGUUAUCUGGGUUGGUCAGUUAGAGUUUGUUUAACCUUCAUGCCUUGAACCAUGGAAGGAAGUAAUCUUGCUGAUUUCUCCCCCAGCCAGAGAUGACGUCAAACAUCCCCUUUGCAUGAAGAUUCCGGGGCUGAGUUGUGGAUCUGGGGACACUUGCAGGAGCACUGGGGGACCUUGGGCACAUGUAGGGUGUGGUCAGCCUGGGCAGAGGGGCUCAGUCCCCAGACACCCAGUUGCUGAGCUGGGUGGCCAGACUUGUCCUCACCCGAGUUGUCCAACAUGCGGGUCUCACAUCACACAGGACAGGGGACGUGGUCCCACAUCGUGGAGCGCCAGCCCAGUCUCUGUGCCCAGUGCAGUGGGUGCUCGUUCCUUCUCCUGCUCCGACAGUGUGGAGCGCCUGAGCAGCUUCCAGUUCCGGCUGCUGUGACCGUGAGGUCCACACAUGCACACGGCUUUCAUGAUCUCUGCGUCAGGAGAAGAGACGGCUGGCGAGCCCGCUACGUAGGCAGUGCAAUGCUCUGGCUUCGACCAUUACUCUGCUGUGCUUACUUGUCCAAACUAGGUCCCGGGGCCAAGCCCACUGCCAGGGAGCCAGAGCCAGCCAUUGGCGAGGUCUGGCGGGGUCUACCGUGGGGCUUCUUCUGAUAUCUGUGCGUCACACCUGGACUUGCGCAUUACACUUGGAGAUUCCAGGGCCUGGGGAGGUGGCCUGUGUGGCCCCUGACUAGCAGUUACGAAACAGAAAGUGACUGAAAGGAAAGUGAGAAUCUACACACGGGGUGUGUGCACAGCUGGCCUUUGCUGUGUGCCCGUGGGCAGUUUCUAUCCCUUGCUGGUCUUGGUUUCCUGACCUGUACAAUGGAUGGCAAGCCUUGCCAAAGCCGCCUGCUUACUCACUCUUCUCCCCUCCCCCCUGCUUCCACCUUGCUGCAACCAUCGUCCUGUGAGGUCCUGGAGUUGGGGGGGGGGUACACCGUCUGGGCCCAGCUCUUGCUGCUGAGGGCUGUGGGUGGCUGAUUGACAGCUGGGAAGAGCAGGGGUACUGCCUGGCAUUAGUGGACGCUGGGAGCUGUCACCUGCCCUUGAUCUGCUUUGUGCUCUACGUCCUGCCUGGGCCGUCAGACCCCGGAAUCCUCAGCCCGCGAGCCUCCUGGGAUGCACUCUGGGAAGCCUGUGGUGUCCUGCCAGAGCAGCAGGUUCUGUCUUCACUUCAGGCUCGCCUGGGGCCUGGAGUCUUAGCAGAAAGCAGAGACUCUCAGAGAGGACGUGCGAGCUUAUUUUCCGCACGGCUGUGGGUGGAAACCCUCCCUGCUGGACUCUGACCCGGGAACUGCUCUCAGAGGCUUGGAGGCACAGAACAACUCGGAAAGCCUGGGGCUAGCCGAGUCUGGGACAUGGGCCUGCGCGUCUCGAGAGAACACUCGCCGCGUGCCCCUUGAGGCGGGAGCGUGGACGGGGUUUUCUGAGCCCCCUUCAGCCAUCUGAGAACCCGGACUCUCAGAUGAACCCUGCAAACACGCAGGCUGCGUUCAUUAAAAUUCUCCAACCGGGCUUCCUAUAACGUGUGCUUUCAAGUGCUGCCGCCGCAAAGCUAUGAAUUUUCUGAUUUUGUCACACCCUGGUAAGAUUAAAAAAACACAGUUAUGUGCGCUUUUGCUGACUGAAUUGCAGAAGUCAUUUCUCAUACAAUUGAAAUCUAAAACUCGGUUGAUGCCUUGCCCAGUGGGACAGGAAGCAAUUUAUCAACUCCUAUUAGCUCCCAUCGCCAAUCAACAGAGGGCUGUGGCCUGAGUCCUUCCCAUUGGAGUGGAAAACUCACAGCUCACUAUUUUCUCCAGCUAAAGAAAUUGCACAGGGCCCAGGCACCCUUGAUGCUAAGCCUGGGGCCGUCUUGUCAGCCAGAGAGAUCUUGGAGCGAGUGGGAAAUGGGAAAUCAGCCCCACACUGAGCGCCUCUGUGGAAGGCCCCGCGCGGAGGAGGGAGUUACCUCUCCCAGGACCUGACCUUCUGAGUGGACAGCUGGUGACCUUCCUAGUUUUUCCUCAGUUCAGAAACAUGCAAGAGAAAGUGCCCUGUGUGUUCGGACUUCAGCGCGGAGCCUUUGCGGGAAGCGCUGGUGUCGGCGUGCGUCUCCACGUGCAGACUCAGGGCAUGAACUGAGUUAGUUGCUGCUCCCUGCGAACGCCACACCCACUUCUGUCCCAUCAGGGCACUGAGAACCGAGGGCAGCCACGUUCCCGCCUCUCUCACCAGGGGGAGUUCUCUGAGACGGAGCGGCCUCUCCGCCUGCGAUCUGCACACAGAGCGGAGGGUUUGGUGUCCACGACAGGUUGGAAGCGGGAAAUGGCGUGGAACGAUCCAGGGCUGUGCUGGCUCUCAGGGGGCUGGUGCGGGCCCUUCUGGAAGGCCUCGGUCUUUGCAGGGGAGCCUCCGUGCAGCCCUGCAGCUCCCGCCAGCCACCCUGGAGGGCACGCAGGAUCCUCGCCUGGUUCUAGUUUCUAGUCUGAGAGGUGAGCCAGGGCCCGCCUCUCCCUGCUCCUGCAGCCUCCAACGCCUGCUGCAGCAAACCCAUCUGGUUACCAGGUCUGGUCUUGCCGGGGACAAACAAAGGAAAGACUUGUAAGCUGGAAUUAAAGGAGACGGAGAGCCUCACUUGUCACCUGCAAAGUUCCAGCAUUCUGAAGGCUCUGUUUAGAUCUCAUCCAAGAAUCACAGCUUUCCUUUCAGGUCAAAUUUCCUGCCAUCUCCACUCACCACACACCAGCUCCAGGGGCUCGCAGCCCCCUCACGGCACUAUGGGCCCAGCACUGUGGUGUACUGGGUUGAGCUGCCACCUGCCUACAGGCACCAGUUUGUGUCCUGGCUGCUCCACUUCUGAUCCAACUCCCUGCUGAUGGCCCGAGAAAGCAGUGGAAAGUGGCCCAACUAUCCACAUGGAAGACCUAGAAGAAGCUCCUGGCCCAGCCUUGGCUGUUGUAGCCAACUGGGCAAUAAACCAGUGGAUGGAAGAUCUCUAUCUCUCUCU